rnacentral:rRNA from 1 species
AUUGAACGCUGGCGGCAUGCCUUACACAUGCAAGUCGAACGGUAACGGGCCUUCGGGUGCCGACGAGUGGCGAACGGGUGAGUAAUACAUCGGAACGUGCCCGAUCGUGGGGGAUAACGAGGCGAAAGCUUUGCUAAUACCGCAUACGAUUUACGGAUGAAAGCAGGGGACCGCAAGGCCUUGCGCGGACGGAGCGGCCGAUGGCAGAUUAGGUAGUUGGUGGGAUAAAAGCUUACCAAGCCGACGAUCUGUAGCUGGUCUGAGAGGAUGAUCAGCCACACUGGGACUGAGACACGGCCCAGACUCCUACGGGAGGCAGCAGUGGGGAAUUUUGGACAAUGGGCGCAAGCCUGAUCCAGCCAUGCCGCGUGCAGGAUGAAGGCCUUCGGGUUGUAAACUGCUUUUGUACGGAACGAAAAGCCUUCUUUUAAUACAGGAGGGUCAUGACGGUACCGUAAGAAUAAGCACCGGCUAACUACGUG